rnacentral:tRNA from 1 species
UGCGGCGUAGCUCAAGUGAGAGCGCCCGUCUUGUAAACGGGAAGAUGCGAGUGCGACGCUCGUCGCCGCAGCCA